ACGACAAGGAGGGGCAAGGAAUAUGCAUUGAGCAUUUUGAAGGAGACUCCCCGCUAAAAAAGAAUAUUCAGCACCACUACAUCUCAGCCUUACAGUUGCACAGUGAAGCCAAGUGGAGAGAAGACAUGCUGUACCGCAUAUGCCAGGAGGUUUUGGUCAACUUGUGCACAACUACAAUGUAUCUCAUUGGCUGCAGACAGACAGCGAGAACACUACCGAUGUGGCAUGGCAUUUAGAGGCAGAAUAUUGCGCUGCGUUUUGCAUAUCCUUUCAAGUUGACACUUGUUAAUGCAUCAUUGGCGUGUUGUAUCCACAGUUUAUCCUUUCAUCACAAUUGUAAGCCUCUUAUUUGGAACACAAGUAAGCCUGCACGGACACUACCAUAUAACCUUUCGCAUUAUCGUACAAUAUACACUGUAGUUCUUCUAGUAUACUUUUUUUACGUAUUCAAUGAAGUAGAAUGUACCAGUUGGGUACCAUUAUCAUUGCUUCAUAACUUUAUUGCAUGCAAAAUUGUCCUGUUGACUGCCAUUUGUGUCACAUAAUUAUUUUUGCAACCUAAACCUCAUAUUAGCUUUCAACAGUCACUGCUGCUGAAGCAUUGUUAUGAUAUUAUAGUAGAUUCGGGACAGAAAAUUUGUGAAAUUCAAA